GCUACCUCAAAUGUUGUAAUGCUUCUCUUUUAAUAUAUAGGGAAUAUAUCGUCUUUAGAUAUUUUCCAAUAUAUUCUCUACAUAUUUCAAUUUUAUAUCAGGGAAAAUUAUAUCUCAUUUUUCUAUUUUUCAAUUCAGAAAUAAAAAAAUAAACUUGAUUCAGAAUGGAUUUUUUUUUUUUUGCGCAUAUCAUUGUAAAUUGAAAUAUGAAUAAAUCAUUGAUUAUUGUUAUAGUAUAAGUUUCACAAUUUUGAACUUGUGCAUUCUUUGUUUAAAUUCUGAAAUCAAAAGAUAUUGUUUU
rnacentral:lncRNA from 1 species